CCUACGGGAGGCUGCAGUGAGGAAUAUUGGUCAAUGGGCGCUAGCCUGAACCAGCCAAGUAGCGUGAAGGAUGACGGCCCUAUGGGUUGUAAACUUCUUUUAUAUGGGAAUAAAGUGCAGUACGUAUACGGCGUUGCAUGUACCUUAUGAAUAAGGAUCGGCUAACUCCGUGCCAGCAGCCGCGGUAAUACGGAGGAUCCGAGCGUUAUCCGGAUUUAGUGGGUUUAAAGGGAGCGUAGGCGGGUUGUUAAGGCAGUUGUGAAAGUUUGCGGCUCAACCGUAAAAUUGCAAUUGAUACUGGCAGUCUUGCGUACAGUUGAGGUAGGCGGAAUUCGUGGUGUAGCGGUGAAAUGCUUAGAUAUCACG
rnacentral:rRNA from 1 species